rnacentral:rRNA from 1 species
GAUGAACGCUGGCGGCGUGCCUAAUACAUGCAAGUCGAGCGAACGGACGAGAAGCUUGCUUCUCUGAUGUUAGCGGCGGACGGGUGAGUAACACGUGGAUAACCUACCUAUAAGACUGGGAUAACUUCGGGAAACCGGAGCUAAUACCGGAUAAUAUUUUGAACCGCAUGGUUCAAAAGUGAAAGACGGUCUUGCUGUCACUUAUAGAUGGAUCCGCGCUGCAUUAGCUAGUUGGUAAGGUAACGGCUUACCAAGGCAACGAUGCAUAGCCGACCUGAGAGGGUGAUCGGCCACACUGGAACUGAGACACGGUCCAGACUCCUACGGGAGGCAGCAGUAGGGAAUCUUCCGCAAUGGGCGAAAGCCUGACGGAGCAACGCCGCGUGAGUGAUGAAGGUCUUCGGAUCGUAAAACUCUGUUAUUAGGGAAGAACAUAUGUGUAAGUAACUGUGCACAUCUUGACGGUACCUAAUCAGAAAGCCACGGCUAACUACGUGCCAGCAGCCGCGGUAAUACGUAGGUGGCAAGCGUUAUCCGGAAUUAUUGGGCGUAAAGCGCGCGUAGGCGGUUUUUUAAGUCUGAUGUGAAAGCCCACGGCUCAACCGUGGAGGGUCAUUGGAAACUGGAAAACUUGAGUGCAGAAGAGGAAAGUGGAAUUCCAUGUGUAGCGGUGAAAUGCGCAGAGAUAUGGAGGAACACCAGUGGCGAAGGCGACUUUCUGGUCUGUAACUGACGCUGAUGUGCGAAAGCGUGGGGAUCAACCAGGAUUAGAUACCCUGGUAGUCCACGCCGUAAACGAUGAGUGCUAAGUGUUAGGGGGUUUCCGCCCCUUAGUGCUGCAGCUAACGCAUUAAGCACUCCGCCUGGGGAGUACGACCGCAAGGUUGAAACUCAAAGGAAUUGACGGGGACCCGCACAAGCGGUGGAGCAUGUGGUUUAAUUCGAAGCAACGCGAAGAACCUUACCAAAUCUUGACAUCCUUUGACAACUCUAGAGAUAGAGCCUUCCCCUUCGGGGGACAAAGUGACAGGUGGUGCAUGGUUGUCGUCAGCUCGUGUCGUGAGAUGUUGGGUUAAGUCCCGCAACGAGCGCAACCCUUAAGCUUAGUUGCCAUCAUUAAGUUGGGCACUCUAAGUUGACUGCCGGUGACAAACCGGAGGAAGGUGGGGAUGACGUCAAAUCAUCAUGCCCCUUAUGAUUUGGGCUACACACGUGCUACAAUGGACAAUACAAAGGGCAGCGAAACCGCGAGGUCAAGCAAAUCCCAUAAAGUUGUUCUCAGUUCGGAUUGUAGUCUGCAACUCGACUACAUGAAGCUGGAACCGCUAGUAAUCGUAGAUCAGCAUGCUACGGUGAAUACGUUCCCGGGUCU